AGGUAAGUAACAGAGCCAGGUCCUGGAAGGUAAGUAACACAGUAACACAGCCAGGUCCUGGAAGGUAAGUAACACAGCCAGGUCCUGGAAGGUAAGUAACACAGUAACACAGCCUGGUCCUGGAAGGUAAGUAACACAGUAACACAGCCAGGUCCUGGAAGGUAAGUAACACAGUAACACAGCCAGGUCCUGGAAGGUAAGUAACACAGCAAGGUCAUGGAAGGUAAUUAACACAGUAACACAGCCAGGUCCUGG